rnacentral:rRNA from 1 species
GAGAGCUUGCUCUCGGGUGACGAGUGGCGGACGGGUGAGUAAUGUCUGGGAAACUGCCCGAUGGAGGGGGAUAACUACUGGAAACGGUAGCUAAUACCGCAUAACGUCUUCGGACCAAAGUGGGGGACCUUCGGGCCUCACACCAUCGGAUGUGCCCAGAUGGGAUUAGCUAGUAGGUGGGGUAACGGCUCACCUAGGCGACGAUCCCUAGCUGGUCUGAGAGGAUGACCAGCCACACUGGAACUGAGACACGGUCCAGACUCCUACGGGAGGCAGCAGUGGGGAAUAUUGCACAAUGGGCGCAAGCCUGAUGCAGCCAUGCCGCGUGUAUGAAGAAGGCCUUCGGGUUGUAAACUACUUUCAGUGGGGAGGAAGGCGAUGAAGUUAAUAACUUCGUCGAUUGACGUUACCCGCAGAAGAAGCACCGGCUAACUCCGUGCCAGCAGCCGCGGUAAUACGGAGGGUGCAAGCGUUAAUCGGAAUUACUGGGCGUAAAGCGCACGCAGGCGGUCUGUCAAGUCGGAUGUGAAAUCCCCGGGCUCAACCUGGGAACUGCAUUCGAAACUGGCAGGCUAGAGUCUUGUAGAGGGGGGUAGAAUUCGAGGUGUAGCGGUGAAAUGCGUAGAGAUCUGGAGGAAUACCGGUGGCGAAGGCGGCCCCCUGGACAAAGACUGACGCUCAGGUGCGAAAGCGUGGGGAGCAAACAGGAUAAGAUACCCUGGUAGUCCACGCCGUAAACGAUGUCGACUUGGAGGUUGUGCCCUUGAGGCGUGGCUUCCGGAGCUAACGCGUUAAGUCGACCGCCUGGGGAGUACGGCCGCAAGGUUAAAACUCAAAUGAAUUGACGGGGGCCCGCACAAGCGGUGGUGCAUGCGGUUUAAUUCGAUGCAACGCGAACAACCUUACCUGGCCUUGACAUCCACGGAAUUUGGCAGAGAUGCCUUAGUGCCUUCGGGAACCGUGAGACAGGUGCUGCAUGGCUGUCGUCAGUUCGUGUUGUGAAAUGUAGGGUUAAGUCCCGCAACGAGCGCAACCCUUAUCCUUUGUUGCCAGCACGUAAUGGUGGGAACUCAAAGGAGACUGCCGGUGAUAAACCGGAGGAAGGUGGGGAUGACGUCAAGUCAUCAUGGCCCUUACGGCCAGGGCUACACACGUGCUACAAUGGCGCAUACAAAGAGAAGCGACCUCGCGAGAGCAAGCGGACCUCAUAAAGUGCGUCGUAGUCCGGAUCGGAGUCUGCAACUCGACUCCGUGAAGUCGGAAUCGCUAGUAAUCGUAGAUCAGAAUGCUACGGUGAAUACGUUCCCGGGCCUUGUACACACCGCCCGUCACACCAUGGGAGUGGGUUGCAAAAGAAG